GAGCACCAGCUGUGGUCUCUUGUCACCUGCUAUAAAAGCUCCUCGAGUCAGUCCUCUUAACAACUGUCACUGAAGUGAUGGCUGUUGUUUGGCUCGUGGUUGUUUUGGUGCAUGCUGUCUUGAUGGAUAAUGGCCUUUGUUUUACAGCUGGGGUUAAACAAGGUGCAUCCAAUGCUCUGGUUCAAAAAGGUGUUCCAGGUGUUAUUUGAAAAGAGGGGUCAGAGACCAGCCGAGCCACAACAUGAGCGGAAAGGGCCAACAGAACGACGCCUUCAGGCACGACCAGAAGAGCCGCAACACGAGUGGCAAGGGCCAACAGAACGACUUCUUCAACCAGAGUGAGAAUCUUCACAUCUGACAUGAGCAACAGCUAUCAGAAUGGAUGAUGGUGACUCAACAGACGGUGUCUUCACUGUGAAUGUUUGCCGUGUACCGUUGUCUUGAUGGCUGCAGCAUGAUUGAAGGCCUUGAUCUCAGUUUCAUGUAACAUGUCUGACAAUUAAAACAUUUUACCUUCA